rnacentral:SRP_RNA from 1 species
UCGUGCUAGAUGGGGAGCUAGCGGUGCCCUGUACCUGCAAUCCGCUAUAGCAGGGUCGAAUCCCCGUUUGAGGCUUGCAUCUGGCGGGACUGCCCCGGUUAAGUGGCGUUGAAGGCCGGGUCCUGCGCGGCGGAAGGCUAUGAACCCCGUCAGGUCCGAGAGGAAGCAGCGGUAAAUAGUAUUUUCCGGGUGCCGCAGGUCCGCCUGGCUGGAGCCGGCUGGCUGGGGUAAGCCGUUGGGUGGGGUCGAGGGCGGGUGCGCGG